rnacentral:rRNA from 1 species
UGAGUACGAUGCUCUACGGAGCAGAAGUGUGUGACGUCAGGCUUCCUAGAAAAUCCCGGACCACGUUAAUCCACAUCACCCGUACCCGAAACCGACACAGGUGGGUAGGUAGAGUAUACUAAGGGGCGCGAGAUAACUCUCUCUAAGGAACUCGGCAAAAUGACUCCGUAACUUCGGGAGAAGGAGUGCCUUAUUUAUAAGGUUGCAAUAACAAGAUCCAAGCAACUGUUUAUCAAAAACACAGGUCUCCGCUAAGUCGUAAGACGAUGUAUGGGGGCUGACGCCUGCCCAGUGCCAGAAGGUUAAAGAAGUUGGUUAGUGUAUGCGAAGCUGAUGACUGAAGCCCUGGUGAACGGCGGCCGUAACAAUAACGGUCCUAAGGUAGCGAAAUUCCUUGUCGGGUAAGUUCCGACCCGCACGAAAGGCGUAAUGAUUUGGAUACUGUCUCGGAGAGAGGCUCGGUGAAAUAGACUUGUCUGUGAAGAUGCGGACUACCUGCACCAGGACAGAAAGACCCUAUGAAGCUUUACUGUAACUUGAAAUUGGAAUUGGACUUUGCUUGCGCAGUAUAGGUGGGAAGCGUUGAAAAUAUUCUUGCGGGAGUAUUGGAGCUAUCAGUGAGAUACCACUCUUGUAAUGUUAGAUUUCUAACUUUGAACCAUAAUCUGGUCAAAGAACAGUUUCAGGUGGGCAGUUUGACUGGGCGGUCGCCUCCCAAAUGGUAACGGAGGCGUACAAAGGUUUCCUCUGAACGGAUAGAAAUCGUAUCUAGAGUGUAAAGGCAUAAGGAAGCUUGACUGUGAGACCUACAAGUCGAGCAGGGACGAAAGUCGGUCUUAGUGAUCUGACGGUACUGAGUGGAAAGGCCGUCACUCAACGGAUAAAAGUUACUCUAGGGAUAACAGGCUGAUCUCCCCCAAGAGUUCACAUCGACGGGGAGGUUUGGCACCUCGAUGUCGGCUCAUCGCAUCCUGGGGCGGUAGUACGUCCCAAGGGUUGGGCUGUUCGCCCAUGAAAGCGGUACGCGAGCUGGGUUCAGAACGUCGUGAGACAGUUCGGUCCAUAUCCGGUGUAGGCGCUAGAAUAUUGAGAGGAGCCUUCUUUAGUACGAGAGGACCGAGAAGGACACACCGCUGGUGUACCAGUUAUCGUGCCAACGGUAAACGCUGGGUAGCUAUGUGUGGAGUGGAUAACCGCUGAAAGCAUCUAAGUGGGAAGCCCACCUCGAGAUGAGUAUUC